rnacentral:lncRNA from 1 species
AAAUAAUGAAUAUAUUAGAUAUAGCAUAUAAAUUAGUAGCUGGAAGUGAGCUUUAAAGAUUUUUAUCGCCACCAGAAGGUUGCUCAAACCACUGUUCAACGAUCGCAAGGCAUCUUUCAUGUCAUCAGUGCUUCUGAUGGGAGGAACUCUGUAUGAACCUGCAGCUGCUACCAAGACCGUCACCUGUAAAUAACUACCAGAAAUCAGGACGAAGGUAAAGAAAAUUUUGAUUCAGUAGAUAUUUGCUAACGUGUUUCUUUAUAAGUUUAGCCAUUAUUUCAAGAAAGACAAUAUUCAUCUCUAAGUUUAUAAAUUAUUUAAGUAAGGAGCAACUAAAGCAAGUUCAGUGCUUGAACCAGCAACACGCAACAUUUUGAAUGAAUAUGUAGAAGUAAAAUCAAGCAAACAAAUAUAAAGACAAGGAGAAUUAUGUCUUUAAUAAUUGUUUUACUGUGAAAAAUAUUCCUUUUGCAAUUUAUAUAGGUGCAAGCAUGAUUAUAAUGUUUAUAAAAUUUAGAUCUUAAAAACCUCGAAUGCUGAUAUCAAUCAAGAAUCUUGAAGACCCUAAAAUCAGAACGGUAGCUAAUAUCUAUUUAAAGCUCCAUGCAUGCGCUGUUGCAGGAAAGUACAAAACAACAGAGGACGAUCAAAAGUUCCAGAUGGAUAUGUUUGACAAUAAUGAAGAGGACGAUGCACAUAAUUAUCUGAAAGAUGUACUAUCACCAGUGAUGUCUAAAUGACAGAGUAGACGACUUUACCAC